GACGAACGCUGGCGGCGUGCUUAACACAUGCAAGUCGAACGAUGAAGCCGGAGCUUGCUCCGGUGGAUUAGUGGCGAACGGGUGAGUAACACGUGAGCAAUCUUCCCUUGACUCUGGGAUAACUGCGGGAAACUGUAGCUAAUACCGGAUACGACACCUUGGGGCAUCCCAGGGUGUGGAAAGAAUUUCGGUCAAGGAUGAGCUCGCGGCCUAUCAGCUAGUUGGUGAGGUAAUGGCUCACCAAGGCGACGACGGGUAGCCGGCCUGAGAGGGGGACCGGCCACACUGGAACUGAGGCAGGGGCCAGACGACUACGGGAGGCAGCGGUGGGGAAUAUUGCACAAGGGGCGAAAGCCGCAUGCAGCAGCGCCGGGUGAGGGAUGAAGGCCUUCGGGUUGUAAACCUCUUUUAGCAGGGAAGAAGCGAAAGUGACGGUACCUGCAGAAAAAGCACCGGCUAACUACGUGCCAGCCGCCGCCGUAA
rnacentral:rRNA from 1 species